AUUUUUCACGCACGGUACCUACCUACCAGUUAUUAAAACGUUCCUAACUUAUUAACAAUAAAAACUCUACUCUUGCCUUACCUUAAUUGUUAUUCCUUCGGAUGAAGUACCCUAGAACAUGUCACGUCACGUAGGUAUGCAACAUCGCGUUUCCUCCGCGGUAGGUAGGUAUCACACGCACUCACAAACACAACACCUUGCUCUUUAAUAAACAUCAACAAUCUUCCAUACUUUUGCGCAGUAAAUGGUCUAUGAUCUAUCAUCAUAGUCGACACUACUCAUUUACAGAAUGAAACAAACACUCACAAACACGAAAAAAAUAUCCUCGAAAAACAUCACGCGAUUCGGGUCAAGCUUAGUAUUCGACUGAGCGGAAGCGCGCGGCGGCGGCGUUAGCGCAAAGCAUCAAAGGCGCCGACUAAGGGCGCCGACGACGCACCGGCCGCGGCCGAGUCGAGCCGACGACUAGAGAGAGAGAGAGAAGUAUGUUUAUGGUGCAAGUGACAGAGAAAGAAAUAGUAUCUGUUCGUAUGCCUAGUUUAUUGGCGAGCGUUGCCCUUGACCCGUGCGCCGGCUAUUCACCUGCGCAUAGCUGAAGUUGUAGAUACGUUAUUAUUAUUAUUGAUGACAUUGAUAAAAUUUAAUAAUUAGUAAUUUUUAUUUGUUUAUUUUAAAUGUGCGUUCUAUGCAGCUUAAAACACAAUAUGGGACUGAAAAAAAACUAUUUUUUUUAUGAAUUUGGCGACAGGAAACUUCACUUGAUACCUAUCAACUCAAAGAAAUACCUAGUAUCUGUUCGUAAUGCCUACUUUAUUGGCGCGCGUUGCGU